rnacentral:lncRNA from 1 species
AUGGCGCGGCGCCGGCCUUGUCCGCGGCGUCGUCGGCUGAGUCGUCGGCAGCUGGGCCGUCAGCGCUGUCGUCGUCCGAGGGCGCGGCGGCCGCCGAUGUGCUUCCAGGCUUCUUCUUGGUCUUCUUCUUGGGCACCUCCGGUGCGGGCGACGGCGCCAGGUCCUCAGCUUUUUUGGGCUUGAACAACUCCUUGGGCUGCAGGAACUUGGAGACGGCGUAGAUGGCGAGAGGGUCAUCGUCCCUGACGGUGGCCUGGAUGGUGGAGGUGGUGACCGUGGUGUCGAGCGUGACGGUGUCUGCCUCGGUCUGCGCUUCGUAGGUGUAGUCCUUCUUGGCAACGCUGGUGCUGGCGAGCGUGGUCACCUUGCCUUUAUUGGACUUGAGGAACUGCAUGGAGUAGUAGUCCGGCACGGCGUGGUAGAGCAGGAUGGCCGUCUUGGCCUUGGCCGUCAGGUUCUUGAACUUUGGCAUGAAGGCGGCCACGGCGGCGUCGACAGGGCAGAAGAGCGUGAGCGCAGUGUCCUUGGUUCCGUUGAUGGUAUCGAAGGCUUUGGCAUCGGCAGCUAGGAG